rnacentral:ncRNA from 1 species
CGACUGGGAAUGAAGUUCUCCCGUGGGAAACCAAAACCGCUGAAAUAAGGCUGAUGACUUCUG